GGAGGGAGUUGGAGAGGACGGUGAACAAUAAUGACCCCGUUUCCUGAGUGCUCAUCCUGUGCCACGCAUGGAGCCGCGGCUUGACAAGCAUCUUUACUGCAACCCUAUUCCGCCAGUGAGCCUGAGACCCAGGGAGCUUAGAAACCCGGCCAGAAUCUGGCAGAGCGGGGGCCCUAACCCGCCGUCUGAGCCCACGGUGGCACCCUUAAUCACCAAGCUCCACAGUGUGGGGGACGAGAGAGUGGAACUACCGGAGAAGACACGGGGAUGCGGCUCGGAGAGAGAGGAUGGACUGAAGCGAUUUGAAAGGCGUUGUGGAAAGCAUACACGGAUAUUUUUUUCUUUCAUUUAAUCCUCAAACAAGCCUAUGAGACAAUGCCCCCCGUACUGUCUGCGCCCUGGCUGGACUGCUCCCACUGUCCCCUCCCCUUCCUCGAUGCACUACUGGGACCAAGAGCUGCUGGUGAUGUUUCCACACAGGCACCUCCGAGAACAACCGGCGAAGUAGCAAGGAAGUGGACUCAGAAGAGCCAUCCUUUCAUCCCUGCUCCACGCUUAGCUGCGGGCAAAUUGCAUCUCAAUUUCCUCAUCUGUAAAAUGGAGACAGCAAAGCCGUCUCUUUCGUAGAGCCUUGUCAUGAGGAUUUGAAAAGCAAUUCAACAACCACUAUGAGAUAAUGCUUCUCACCCAUCAACUUAAUAAAUUUUAAGAAACAUUCAAGAUUCCAACAAAAAGAUAGUCUGAGGCUCAGACAAGUUAACCAUCUUGCCCAAAGCCAUACAAUGCAGGUAAAUGGAAGAAGUACACCGUUUGCUUUCUAAGGACCAAGCUCCCUGUGGGCUGGAGGAAAACUUUCCCCAUAAUGGAGUUUGGCGGAUCCAUGUGACUACGCCCUGGCUGAUGGAAUAUAAGCAGAAAUGUCAUGUGGCAGCUUCUAGGAACCUUCCUUACAAGACAGCUGACUCAUGGACAUCUUCUUCAUCCUUUCUCCAUCCUGCUCCCGGGAGCAUGAAUACGACGACUGAAGCUCUAGCCACCAUCUUAGACUGUGACAACAGUGCUUACGCUUUUAGGAAAUGACAGAGCAGUGAGCUGGAAGAAGAUGAAAGCUUCUCCAGAUUUUGUUAAGCUCAGUUACAAUAGAAGCCCUGGCCUUCCUAUGUCUGGCGUUGUAUGUGUGUGAGAAAAUCAAAGGUCAUUUAAGCCAUUGUUAGUUUGGGUCUCUGUUUCUUGCAGCCUAACCUAAUCCUCACUGGUACAUAUGCUUCUUACCUUUGGACUUCCAUUUUAUUGGCUAAGAGGCAACAAAUUCCACUUGUUUCAUCCAGAUUGAGUUAAGUUUUCUAUUAACCUGUAACCAAAAACAUUCUAAGUAAUACAUGGAGUAAGGCAGCUUCAUUCCCACUUGGCUACAAACCACAUUACGGCUUUGGGACCUCAAGGCAUACAGCACAUUGAUAGCUACACCAGGAUAAAGAUGGUAUCAGAAGGAUGGUGCCCACCAAGAAACAUUACUACCCAAUGUCAGCCGGAAAAUAUGAUAAUGCCCAUCAGAAGGGGAAAAACUGAUGAGAAAUGCGUACUCAACACGGUAGUCAACAGGAUAAUGAAGUGGAUCUAUCUGAAAGGCUGUUGGCUUACCAAUUGCAAAGGGUGAAUCUCAAGAGAUUCAGAAGCUUAAUUUGAAUAAACAAGACAAAGUUUGGAUGCUUAUCAAAACUCUGGCAAAACUAGGCCAGAAAUGGACCCAAUUUUCUAGCGAGGUUUCCAGUAUUUCCUGUUUCCAGUAGGACUGGACUAUCUUCGGAAGAGUCUCCUAAUGACUGGAACCAGCUGGACAUAGCUGGAGAACACUCAAAGACUGAAAAAACACGAGAAAAGAUAGUGCGCGCUGUUUCGAGCUGCAAGAGGGAUGGAGAUAAUUAAAACACAGUGCUGAAAAUAAGUAUCAACUAUUUGACUUGUUGCAUCUUUUAUUUCCCUAAGGAAAUAAUCUGAAGGGUUUUAACCUUUCUGCUUUCAGUACUGCCCCAGAAAAGAGAUGUACCUGGUGGACCUCAUGUUGUGUACAGUGUAGACUGCAAGCAAACCUAAGCAAUGGCUUAGUGCCAUGGAGGGAAGACGGCUAUUUAUCUACCCUUAGCCCUUAGUAAAUUUCUGUGAAUCAACAAGUUGAAAGAGGCUACAAUGCAAUCUAUCAUAAAUAAUAGUCUGAUAAUGACUCAUCCUUCCCUGAGCCAAAGAGGACUAUCCUCAGUCAUUCCAAAGAGGUAGGCAAUAAAUCUACUUACAGAAAGAUUCAGAAGAGCCACUGAAGAGUGAGGUUAACCCUCUGUAGUAAACACAGUUGUCAAAGCACAACAUCCCUUCCAGCCUGCUUCUGGUGUGCCUGCCUGUACAGAAAAGGUUGGAAAGCUAAACAGUAUUUCCCAAGCUUCCUUGCAGCUAGAAUUCUGACUAUCAUUGGAUUCCACUACUGGAAUCGCUAGUGCAAGAUGUGAGGUGGACACUCAGAUGGAUGUUACAUUUCUGCUUCUGCUAUUUCUGCAGGCAAGCAUCAACAGGGCAGAAUGAGCAUGGCCCCAGUAACCAGUCAUUAGCUUCAUGUGGGUCUCGUGACAGGGUGUAAGCCAUCCAUUUUGCAAGCAUGGAUUCUAGAACCGGCAAGGAACAGGAGCUCACUGAUUAUGGCAUAGUCUUGAUCGUGUUGGUGUCCAGACUGUGUGCCCUGAUUGUACUGGCUUCCUGAUUGUGGCAGUGUUGGGUGGUUCUGGAGCCAGAAGCUUCCAAAUUUGGUGAGCAGCUUC
rnacentral:lncRNA from 1 species